rnacentral:RNase_P_RNA from 1 species
CCAGGGGGCCGGGCAGCCGCGUGACUUCGGUCGCGAGGAAAGUCCGGGCUCCACGAGACAAGGGUGGCGGGUAACGCCCGCCGGAUGCAAGUCCAGGGAAAGUGCCACAGAGAGCAUACCGCCGAUGGCUUCUUCGGAAGAUCAGGCAAGGGUGAAAGGGUGCGGUAAGAGCGCACCGGGGUUCUGGUAACAGCGCCCGCAUGGCAAACCCCACCCGGAGCAAGGCCGAAUAGGGGCGGCGUGCCGAAAGGCAGGGGUGUUUCUCCCCAGUCGCCCGGGUUGGCUGCUCGAGCCAUGGAGCAAUCCAUGGCCCAGACGAAUGGCUGCCGCCGUGCGGCUGGUGUGCAAGCAUACCGCGUGCGGAACAGAACCCGGCUUACAGGCCCCCUGGCAUU